GAGGGUAUAGCUCAAGUGGUAGAGUACAUGCUUAGUAUGUAUGAGGUCCUGGGUUCAACACCCAGAACCUCCU
rnacentral:tRNA from 1 species